rnacentral:rRNA from 1 species
AUUGAACGCUGGCGGCAUGCCUUACACAUGCAAGUCGAACGGUAACAGGUCUUCGGAUGCUGACGAGUGGCGAACGGGUGAGUAAUACAUCGGAACGUGCCUAGUAGUGGGGGAUAACUACUCGAAAGAGUGGCUAAUACCGCAUGAGAUCUACGGAUGAAAGCAGGGGAUCGCAAGACCUUGUGCUACUAGAGCGGCCGAUGGCAGAUUAGGUAGUUGGUGGGAUAAAAGCUUACCAAGCCGACGAUCUGUAGCUGGUCUGAGAGGACGAUCAGCCACACUGGGACUGAGACACGGCCCAGACUCCUACGGGAGGCAGCAGUGGGGAAUUUUGGACAAUGGGCGCAAGCCUGAUCCAGCAAUGCCGCGUGCAGGAUGAAGGCCUUCGGGUUGUAAACCGCUUUUGUACGGAGCGAAAAGCCCUGGGUUAAUACCCUGGGGUCAUGACGGUACCGUAAGAAUAAGCACCGGCUAACUACGUGCCAGCCGCCGCCGUAAGAC